ACCGAAUAGAUACCCCGGUAGUCCACGCCCUAAACGAUGCGAACUGGAUGUUGGGUACAUUACGGUACUCAGUGUCGAAAGCUAAACGCGUUAAGUUCGCCGCCUGGGGAGUACGGUCGCAAGACUGAAACUCAAAGGAAUUGACGGGGGCCCGGCACAAGCGGUGGAGUAUGUGGUUUAAUUCGAUGCAACGCGAAGAACCUUACCUGGCCUUGACAUCUGUCGAAUCCUGCAGAGAUGCGGGAGUGCCGCAAGGAACGACAAGACAGGUGCUGCAUGGCUGUCGUCAGCUCGUGUCGUGAGAUGUUGGGUUAAGUCCCGCAACGAGCGCAACCCUUGUCCCUAGUUGCCAGCACGUAAUGGUGGGAACUCUAGGGAGACUGCCGGUGACAAACCGGAGGAAGGUGGGGAUGACGUCAAGUCCUCAU
rnacentral:rRNA from 1 species